CCUACGGGUGGCAGCAGUGGGGAAUAUUGGGCAAUGGGCGAAAGCCUGACCCAGCAACGCCGCGUGAAGGAAGAAGGCUUUCGGGUUGUAAACUUCUUUUGUCAGGGACGAAGCAAGUGAUGGUACCUGACGAAUCAGCCACUGCUAACUACGCGGCAGCAGCCGCGGUAAUACGUAGGUGGCCAGCGUUAGCCGGAUUUACUGGGUGGAAAGGGAGUGUAGGCGGGACUGCAAGUCAGAUGUGAAAACCACGGGCUCAACCUGUGGACUGCAUUUGAAACUGUAGUUCUUGAGUGCUGGAGAGGCAGACGGAAUUCCUAGUGUAGCGGUGAAAUGCGUAGAUAUUAGGAGGAACACCAGUGGCGAAGGCGGUCUGCUGGACAGCAACUGACGCUGAGGCGCGAAAGCGUGGGGAGCAAACAGGAUUAGAUACCCCUGUAGUC
rnacentral:rRNA from 1 species